rnacentral:tRNA from 1 species
GGCCUCGUAGCUUAGUUGGCUAGAGCGUUGGACGUUCUAAAGAUUUCUCCUUACCGUCCUGGGUUCGAAUCCCACCGAGGCCA